rnacentral:rRNA from 1 species
AUUGACCGCUGGCGGCAGGCCUAACACAUGCAAGUCGAGCGAGCGGCGGACGGGUGAGUAAUGUCUGGGAAACUGCCGGAUGGAGGGGGAUAACUACUGGAAACGGUAGCUAAUACCGCAUACCAUCAGAUGUGCCCAGAUGGGAUUGGCUAGUCGGCGGGGUAACGGCUCACCUAUGCGACGAACCCUAGCGGGUCUGAGAGGGUGACCAGCCACACUGGAACUGAGACACGGUCCAGACUCCUACGGGAGGCAGCAGUGGGGAAUAUUGCACAAUGGGCGCAAGCCUGAUGCAGCCAUGCCGCGUGUGUGAAGAAGGCCUUCGGGUUGUAAAGCACUUUCAGCGGGGAGGCGUUACCCGCAGAAGAAGCACCGGCUAACUCCGUGCCAGCAGCCGCGGUAAUAC